AACAAAAAAAUAUUAAGUGCUUGUGUCAUAUCCUUAGAUAAGUUAGGUGGUUGUGUUCUGUCCUAAGAAAAGAUGUGAUUCAUAAGGCAGAUCACAUUUUUGUUUCACUUGAGAACUUUGAUUCACUACAUUCUUCCCUUGGCAGCUAAAGCUGUUGAUGGAUACGUGAAGCCACAGAUCAAGCAAGUGGUCCCUGAGUUUGUGAACGCAUCUGCAGAUGCCGGGGGUGGCAGCGCCACGUACAUGGACCAGGCCCCCUCCCCAGCUGUGUGUCCCCAGGCUCACUAUAACAUGUACCCACAGAAGUAGGUGGCAUUCUCGUGGGGGUCCACAGGGGAGGAACUGGGGGCUUGGCCCCAGGCUGGACCCCUGGAGGGCUGGGGUCAAAGGAAUCCAGAGCUCCUCUAGGUCUGAGACCACACAGCCCUGGCCCGGGCUCUGGCCUUUGGGAGGGAGAGAUUUGACCAGAAGUGAUUGGUGGUUUAGAGUCGGGUUGGGCAAAUGUCAUCUGUUCCCCUCUCUCAAUAUGGAGAUUUUUCUUG
rnacentral:sRNA from 1 species